UUAUAUAUAGGUAACAGUUAUUAAAUCGACAUCUAUGCUAUUAGUCAUUGGCACCCCCAAGUUGGUUCCGGCUGGUAAACCAGCUCCUAUAGUUUGUUUCCAACCGACACCAAUAAGGAUUUUUGCAAUAGUGGCACUCCCGUGCAAAUGGCCAUUGGUUGAUUUUAUCGACUCACUAUCGAUAAGGAUCAGGAAAGAGAUUAACCACCAAUUUCCUUCCUAAUCAAGAAAGAAAAAUAAGAGAUUAGAUUUUGUUUUGUGUGAUCGGUGCAAAACAAAAUUCCAAACUAAUUGGAGAUAAACCCCCGAGUCCCACCAGUGUUACUAUAUAAAGAAAGAGAAGGAGGGAGGCAGAUUGAUGAUCGAACUCUAUCUAAUCCUAAGCCCUAAAUCAAUUGCCCGAUCGAUUAGACAUUGGAAGGGGUUCGUGAGGUAUCUCGCAGCAGAAGAAACAAAGAAGAAGAAAGAAGAAGAACAAUGGCUUCAUCUCUGGUCAGUUAGAUCAAUUAAUUUCCGCAUAAGAAGAAGGUGAUCAUGUUUAAGCUAAGACUCAAUUAAUUAAUUGGAUUAAAUUCCAACAUUGUGGUGUCAGAGCCUUAUCUUAGCCACUUGAUCCCAUCAUCCCUAAGUGAAGCCAUUGAGCCCUGUUGUACUGGUGGUCUCGGCCAACAGUAGAAGAAGCAUAGUAUUGAAGAUUUAAUUUUCGUUCCUUAGCAGUAUUUUUUAAGAGAAGAAUGAGGAUCGGGAUAAAUGAGACUGAAAUUCCCAAUUCUCACACCAAGAAUUCCUAGACCAAAGCUAAGGUUUCGGCUAGCACUCAGCAAACAAAAAACAGGGGAUAAAUUGGAUUGAAAUUCCCCACUAUUAAGCAAAAGGGAAUAAACAAGAUUGAAAUUUCCCAAAAUCCCUAAUAAGCCGGAUCAAAUUGGCCUAAAAUCCCCAAAUCUAAGAACCCUAAUUUUUUUCGGGGGAGGGGAGGGAAGAACCCUAAGCCCCAAAGCCUGCAUUAAAUCCAAACAAAAAUCAAGAAAUUAAGCUUCGGGUUUUGGAGAUUUACCGGAUCGUUGAAGCCCUAAGUC
rnacentral:lncRNA from 1 species